UUUAAGUGCAACCAAAAGUUGCCGCGCCCAACUUUGAUCGUCCGUCUUAUUUUAAAUUUUUUUAUAAUUAGUAUUUUUGUUGUUAUGAGAUGAUAAAAUAUGAAUAGUACUUUACUCGUGACUUAUUUUUAAAAUUUUUAUAAAAAAUUUUCAAAUAAGACGGACGGUUAAAGUUGGACGCGGAAAACCAUGGUUGCACUUAAA
rfam:Oryza nivara chromosome 6, whole genome shotgun sequence.